AAAGAGCAGGCCAGCAAGCAGGUAGCAUUCUGGAUGACGGGGCUCAAUCCUGCUAGGGACUCAUAGAUAUGAUGUGGAAUAUUCAUCGGACCAUCUCUCCAUCUGGAAGUCAAGGAGGGGAAAACGCUGACCCACAAGCCACCACCUUCCUUGGCUGACAGCUGACUCUAAUGAGCUCCAUAUGGGAACUGGCUGUGGUUUGGCCUAGUUCACAAUCAAAACUCAUGGGACAAGUGGCCUGAACUGAAGCUGCAACAGAUACAGGAAGUGGAAGUCUCCCCAGGAAGGUAUGGCAUAGGACUGUGGUAUGUAGCACUUUCCUCCUAACUGAAACAUUGCCUCCAGGAGGGAGUGGUGGAGAUUCCUGAGACCCAGAAAGUCUAUAUAAACUUCAUGUGUCUGGGAAAGCCAAAAAAUGCCAGAUUCAUCAGAUUCACCAGAUUUCCUCUCAGGGGUUAUAUAUAGUAGCAAAAACAACUGUUAGGGGGAGGAGGCUCUAACUUCCAAAAAGCAGCAGAGAGGAGACAGCUUGGCCUGCAAGUUUUACAGAGAGCACCAGGGCUUCAUCUCCUACAGCCAUCACCUGUGUCGGAGUAGGAUUUUCCAUGAUGCCGCUCAGCUACAUUGGAGUCAGCCCUGCUCCUGUUCACAACCCCAACAGAAACUCAGUGGUCCAUCAAGUUGGAUUUUGGUGCAAUCAAUACUUUAUCUGUUGUGGAUUACCUUUCUGGGUCUACUUAAUUAGUUUACAGGUCAAUACUGAGCACAAUCCACUAACUUCACAAGCUACUAACAACAAGAAGUAUCACUGGAAAACAGGCAAGCUGAAGGUCUUUCACCACCUGUUUUGUUUCUUGUAACAAAACUGAAAACCACUCUCCCCUGCCUCCUUCCAGUUGCUAGAGAAUGAUACAUCCCCACCACUAAAGACAAGCCAGAGAACUAAGUGAUGAGACCUGAAAACUCCACAGUUCUCUCCAGCUAAAUGGAAACAUUGAAUUGCUUCCUGAACACAAGA